UGGCUUUGACAGCUGAGACACUAAAAUUAGAACAGAGAUUAUCUUGGCUCCUGUGCCAGGACGACAUGCAAAUUCAUGAGGCAUCCUAUAUUUUU
ensembl:snRNA U6 U6 spliceosomal RNA